UCUCACCUCUUUAUAUGAGAUUUUUAUAGAAUUGAAUCAAAAUUUUACAUGGAAUCUCUACAAAUCAAUUAGACUCCAUAAAAAUCCAUGGAUUUAUAAAUUCAUUGAAAUCUCUCAAAUUCCCAAUUGAAUACAUCUCGGUUAAUUGUUUGUUAUUUUUUAAAAAUAGUUCAAAUUCUCUUUUGGCGAUAAUCAAACCUAAGACUUUCAUUUACAAAUAAAGAAAAAUAACAUUAAAUCGUAGUACUAAGUGGGUAGUUUAAAAAAGGUAAAAAAAUUAAAUAUUAAAUACCUCCGUAUUUUAAAGAGAGUUUUAACAAAACAUAUCCGGUAACAAAAAAUCAUAUUUUACCUUUCUCUGGUACUAUUUACUACACCUUUACUUGUUAUUUUUCAUUAAAACUAAAUUUUUUUUUAGUUUUUCUUAUUUUAAAAUGAAACGAAUGUCUAGUUUUAAAAAGGUAAAAAAUUUGCAGAGGAUUCUUAUUUCCUCUUUAAAAGACACCUCCUUUUUUUUUGGUCCAACUGAUAUGCCUCUGUAAAUAGAAAAAGGUUUGCACUUUGUGCGCAUUUUAGAAGAAAAUCACAAAAUAAAGGAAAGAAUAAUUGAUUUUUUACCAGCCAAAGAAAUGGGAACUGAUUUUCCACAAAAGGGAAUUGUGAAUGUUUAUAAAGGAACCGGAUCCCCUCCGGAUCCAAAAGAACCGAGUUCAAGGAUCAAAUGA
rnacentral:lncRNA from 1 species